GUGCACCAGGCGAGAAACUUCGCAAUGCGCGAAAGCGCGACGAGGGGAUUCCAAGUGCAUGCACUAAGUGUAUGCUUUUCGUGAGUUUAAAACGCUCACGGAAUAAGGGCUGGGUAAGACUGGUGCCAGCCGCCGCGGUAAUACCAGCGGCCCUAGUGGUGAUCGUUAUUAUUGGGCCUAAAGCGUCCGUAGCCGGUCCGGUAAAUCUCUGGGUAAAUCGUUGGGCUUAACUCAGCGAAUUCUGGGGAGACUGCUGGACUUGGGACCGGGAGAGGUCGGAGGUACUCCAGGGGUAGGGGUGAAAUCCUGUAAUCCUUGGGGGACCACCGGUGGCGAAGGCGUCCGACCAGAACGGGUCCGACGGUAAGGGACGAAGCCCUGGGGCGCGAACCGGAUUAGAUACCCCUGUAGU
rnacentral:rRNA from 1 species